UAGCGCUUCCUGGAGCUGCUCUCUGCUGAGAGAAUGGAGGGUUUUGUGCUCACACUCCACUUUACGGGUGAGGAGACUGAGAACCACCAAAUGUAAGUGAUUUUCCAGAGAUGCACACUUGGUUAAGCCGUGCCAGUCACCGCCACUGCCACCACUUCCACCGUCUCUCCCACUAUGACCAUCACCCUCGCAGCCAUCAUCUCUAACCCUACAGCCACCGCCCCCCCCCUCCCCCCAUCAGAGUCUUUCCCAUCACCACCAACGCUGUGGGCCGCCUGCCGCCGAGGCCUCUCUUGCUCCAGGGUCUGAGGCUUACCUUGCCCACGUAAUGGGGCAGCGAGUCAUUUCUCUCUUCGUCGAUGUGCAUCUGAUUCCAGAUCCAGUCUCUCUUCUGGCGCCGCCCAGCAGAACCAGGGCCUGUUCCUGCCUCCACAGAGCUCCCAGUCCAAGAGAGGAGGAAGGACAUGGAAACAACUCCUUCUUAAGGGCCGCAUGUGCUGGCGGGGAAGCAAGUGUGGGUGACGGGGAGCCCAAAGGAGAGCUGUAGGAGAGAUUUGCUAGAGGAGAGGGUGAUGCUGCCGUGAGCGAGAGCUCCCAGAGCCUUGUGCAGGGGACGCCCAGCUUAUCCUCGCUUUACA